rnacentral:rRNA from 1 species
UGGGGAAUAUUGGACAAUGGGCGAAAGCCUGAUCCAGCCAUGCCGCGUGUGUGAAGAAGGGCUUCGGAUUGUAGAGCACUUUAAGUUGGGAGGAAGGGCAUUAACCUAAUACGUUAGUGUUUUGACGUUACCGACAGAAUAAGCACCGGCUAACUCUGUGCCAGCAGCCGCGGAAAUACAGAGGGUGCAAGCGUUAAUCGGAAUUACUGGGCGUAAAGCGCGCGUAGGUGGUUUGUUAAGUUGGAUGUGAAAGCCCCGGGCUCAACCUGGGAACUGCAUCCAAAACUGGCAAGCUAGAGUACGGUAGAGGGUGGUGGAAUUUCCUGUGUAGCGGUGAAAUGCGUAGAUAUAGGAAGGAACACCAGUGGCGAGGCGACCACCUGGACUGAUACUGACACUGAGGUGCGAAAGCGUGGGGAGCAAACA